GAUUAUUAGAAACAGCUCCUUUGAAGGAAUUAUCAUGUAAGAAGUAACAAUUUUGCUAGCUCACGACUGUUUUAUCGAUCAUUUUCAGAAACGCAGAUUACAAGAUCAUGAAACAAAUGUCUCGGCGGGACAAAAUCUUUUCCCGGUGUAGUUUCCCAGGGCUCAGAGCAUAAAAUAGAAGUCCAAUGAAUGUGCACGCGGGGACAUAGCACGAAAAACGGCUUAGAAGUGAUGGCAAACUGUCGAGACCCAUGGUUGCCAUGGGUGACAGUCCGUCAUGAGUAUAUUGGCCGGAAAGCCUACCAGAUCCCUCAUUCUACAGCUGUCAGGGACAUCAAGCAACUUAUCUAUGAAGAAACUGACCUGCCUGUCAUUGAGCAGCAGCUGGUUCACAAUGGGAAAGUGCUGGAUGACAAAGUGCAGAUUGGGACCCUGGUACCCAGGGGAAGCCCUGAAGUAUCCGUGACACUGGAGGGAAGGGGC